AUUGAACGCUGGCGGCAUGCCUUACACAUGCAAGUCGAACGGCAGCACGGGAGCAAUCCUGGUGGCGAGUGGCGAACGGGUGAGUAAAGUAUCGGAACGUGCCCAGUCGUGGGGGAUAACGUAGCGAAAGUUACGCUAAUACCGCAUACGAUCUACGGAUGAAAGCGGGGGAUCGCAAGACCUCGCGCGAUUGGAGCGGCUGAUAUCAGAAUAGGUAGUUGGUGGGGUAAAGGCUCACCAAGCCGACGAUCUGUAGCUGGUCUGAGAGGACGACCAACCACACUGGGACUGAGACACGGCCCAGACUCCUACGGGAGGCAGCAGUGGGGAAUUUUGGACAAUGGGCGCAAGCCUGAUCCAGCCAUGCCGCGUGCAGGAUGAAGGCCUUCGGGUUGUAAACUGCUUUUGUACGGAACGAAAAGGUUUGGCCUAAUAAGCUGGACCCAUGACGGUACCGUAAGAAUAAGCACCGGCUAACCACGUGCCAGCCGCCGCAGUAA
rnacentral:rRNA from 1 species